ACCACCUACGGGGGGCAGCAGUCGGGAAUAUUGCGCAAUGGAGGAAACUCUGACGCAGUGACGCCGCGUGCAGGAAGAAGGUUUUCGGAUUGUAAACUGCUUUAGACAGGGAAGAUAAUGACAGUACCUGUAGAAUAAGCUCCGGCUAACUACGUGCCAGCAGCCGCGGUAAUACGUAGGGAGCAAGCGUUAAUCGGAAUUACUGGGCGUAAAGCGCUCGUAGGCGGUAUGUCAAGUCAAGGGUGAAAUCCCCGCGCUCAACGUGGGAACUGCCUUUGAAACUGGCAAACUGGAGUGUGUGAGAG
rnacentral:rRNA from 1 species